GAUGAACGCUGGCGGUAUGCCUAACACAUGCAAGUCGUACGAGAGUUUUCGGACUCUAGUGGCGGACGGGUGAGUAACACGUGAGAAUUUGCCUUUAGGAGGGGGAUAACAAUUGGAAACGAAUGCUAAUACCCCAUAUGCUUUCAAGUGAAACGGAUUUAUCCGCCUAAAGAGAAGCUCGCGGCUGAUUAGCUUGUUGGUAAGGUAAGAGCUUACCAAGGCGACGAUCAGUAUCUGGUUUGAGAGGACGAUCAGACACACUGGAACUGAGACACGGUCCAGACUCCUACGGGAGGCAGCAGUGGGGAAUUUUCCGCAAUGGGCGAAAGCCUGAACCAGCCAUGCCGCGUGCAGGAUGACAGCCCUAUGGGUNGUAAACUGCUUUUAUAAGAGAAGAAACCUUUGGACGUGUCCGAAGCUGACGGU
rnacentral:rRNA from 1 species